rnacentral:rRNA from 1 species
UUACGACUACAUAUCAGGCAUAUCAAUAAGCGGAGGAAAAGAAACUAACUAGGAUUCCCUCAGUAACGGCGAGUGAAGCGGGAAGAGCUCAAAUUUGAAAUCUUCAAGGUUCUACCUUGACGAAUUGUAGUUUAAAGAAGUGUUUUCUGUUGAAGUUUGGUCAAAAGUUCUCUGGAAUAGGACAUCAUAGAGGGUGAGAAUCCCGUAUUUGACCAUUAUUUCCAGCUUUGUGAUACACUUUCAAAGAGUCGGAUUGCUUGGGAAUGCAGUCCAAAAUGGGUGGUAAAUUUCAUCUAAAGCUAAAUAUUGGCGAGAGACCGAUAUGCGAACAAGUACCGUGAGGGAAAGAUGAAAAGAACUUUGAAAAGAGAGUUAAACAGUACGUGAAAUUGUCAAAAGGGAAGCGUUUGACACCAGUGUUGUUUUCUCGAAAAUCAAUUAAAAAAUAGUUGGAUUUUGUGUUGUAUUGACCUUAACAGCUUGCUUCACUCUUUUCCAGCCUUUUUUAAUGCACUUUUCGUUUAACAAGUCAACAUCAGUUUCUUUUGUUGUAAAAGGGUCAUUGGAAGGUGGCUUUCUCUUCGGAGAAAGUGUAUAUAGCCUUUGAUCUCUGCAAUCGGAGAGAUUGAGGUCUGCAGCGUAGAUCCUUCGGGGUUAGAUACAUUGGUGCUAAGCUAUAGCCUUGUAUAGACAACUUGUUGACUAUGCUCAGUCAUGUAGCUUACUCGCUGAUGCUAUUUUACCUACGCUUAGGAUGUUGAGCGCAUGUCUCUCUCU